rnacentral:pre_miRNA from 1 species
AAGGAACAUAAAAGUCGAAGAAACAGAAAGGGACAGUCUCAAGUCGUUGAGACGUCGUCCUGUCUCUUUCUGUUUCUUCGACUUUUAUAUUCCUUUCUA